UAAUGUAGCUUAAAUAACAAAGCAAGGCACUGAAAAUGCCUAGAUGAGUAU
rnacentral:tRNA from 1 species